UUAAAGUUAAUGACCUGAAACUGCAAUAGUAUAUUACAGUACAAGUGAAAACAUUGACAGUUUCACACACACGUUUGUCGGAUUUGAGCAAUGCUUAUGGGGUUCCACAGGUAUCUGUUUUGCAUAAAGUCCUUAAAAAUAUAUGUGUGUGUCAUCUGAGAAAUAUUUGGAAGCAUUAUUAUUUGGAAGCAUGUAUUAAAAAACGAUCUUCUCUGAAAUUUUGGAAAGUGCUUAAAAAACAAAGAUCGACGAGAUUGAAAAUUCUUGAAUUAAUUCUUCGCGUGUAAAGCAUUUUAUGAAUAUAAUUUUACGUGAAUAUAAAUUAAUUUUAUGAAAAUAAUUAAAUAAUUCAUAUAAAACAUUAAAAAAUGUGUUGGUAAUUUAAAAAAAAAACUGAUUCGUUUCAAAGCAGCAGUACUUGUUUUGAAAAGGCACACUAAAAGACAAAAUUAGCAAUAUAUCUUAUUUUUAGCCAAAAGGAGAGAAGUUGAUGAAAGCAAAUACAAUUUCUUAUAUCACUGGUACGACAUAAAAGAAUUAUUAAUUUUUAAUUAAAUUUGUUAUUUUUAAUACUUUGAUGUUAUUAGUAGAAUAUUUACCUCUCGUAUCACACAGUUUACACAUCAUGCUCUUAUCAUUAUUUUUGUAAAGAUCUGAUAAUGUUAUGAAUAAAUAUAUGUGAAAGUGCAACACAGUAUAAUUAAUAAAUUAUGUUUUUAAUGUCAUAUAUUUAUAUUUUGGUUGCAAAAAGUUUGUCUAAUUUUUAUACACGUACAACAUCGUUUGCGUUUAAAAACAACUAGCGAUAAUAAUGAAGUUCAGAAGCACCACGCAGAUUGCAUUCUUUUUUUGAGCUUUUUCUUUUCUAAAUAUUGUUUAAGCUGGCAACACUCAGUUUUAUUAAAAGGAAAGAAUGUAGAUGUAUUCAAAAUUUCAAGAGCUGAAUAUUUAUUCUUUGCGAAGAAUUCGAAUCUACACAGUUCCUGUUUAGUUCAUACAUCAAACAAGUACUGAACUUGGCUGUUGAAGUGUUAUUUUUAACCAAAUUAUACUGCGCUUAAGGGAGAGAAGGAUUUGAAGAGCUCAAGGAUUUGAAUUCUUUAAAUCCAUAUUCAGCUUCUCGCAGUCUUUUAUGAUUUGGACGCAGUGACAAAGAAAAUAUAAAAGCAUCACCGAAGAAAAACAUUGUAUAAUUCUGGUUCUGUUGAAGAUUUCUGACAAAAUUUAAUCUUGCUUUGCAUGAUUUUGGAAUUGGUGCGGAAACCUUUUUGCAUGGCGAUGGAUUUAAGGCUGUGGGCUUUGUACACAAUAUUCUCUCGUAUCUCCGUUCCAGAGAUGCAUUGUACAUAGUCCGCACAUGCGCGUUUGUAAAUGCACCCUUCUGGAACAUAGAUAUGGGCAGAAAACUUCUUCUCUUCUCUACAUCUUUUGCAUGCAUCUUCAUAAUCUAUUGUUCAUUUGGUGUAAAUUUUUCUUUAUAUUUUGAUUUUAUUUAUUUUGUGCAUACAUUGUUUAAUGCUUAUUUAUAUUAUAUUUUGAUUAUUGUAAAUAAACUGAGAAUUUCGUUAUGGUAA
rnacentral:lncRNA from 1 species